ACUUUCAACAACGGAUCUCUUGGCUCUCGCAUCAUGAAGAACGUAGCGAAGUGCGAUAAGUAGUGUGAAUUGCAGAAUUCCGUGAAUCAUCGAAUCUUUGAACGCAAAUUGCGCUCCCUGGCAUCCCGGGGAGUAUGCCUGUUCUGAGGGUCAGU
rnacentral:rRNA from 1 species